UAAGCAUAUCAAUAAGCGGAGGAAAAGAAACCAACCGGGAUUGCCUCAGUAACUGCGAGUGAAGUGGCAAAAGCUCAAAUUUGAAAUCCGGUACCUUUUGGUGCCUGAGUUGUAAUUUGGAGAGACAAAUUUGGUUGAUGGCGCCGGCCUAGGUUCCUUUGAACAGGACAACAUAGAGGGUGAGAAUCCCGUUCCUGGCUGGAUGACCCGUCACAUUUCUAAAUUGUCUUCGACGAGUCGAGUUGUUUGGGAAUGCAGCUCAAAAUGGGUGGUAAAUGUCAUCUAAAGCUAAAUAUUGGCGAGAGACCGAUAGCGCACAAGUAGAGUGAUCGAAAGAUGAAAAGCACUUUGAAAAGAGAGUCAAAAAGUACGUGAAAUUGCUGAAAGGGAAGCGCUUGAGACCAGACUCGAACCGUGGUAAUCAGCCGUGCUUCUGUGCGGUGUCACUUGCCACGGUUUGGGCCAGCAUCGGUUCUGGCGGUCGGAUAAAAGGUGGAGGAAUGUAGCUUCCUUCGGGGAGUGUUAAUUUAGCCUCCACCACAAUGCGGCCAGCUGGGACCGAGGACCGCGCUUUGGCUAGGAUGCUGGCGUAAUGGUCUUAAGCGACCCGU
rnacentral:rRNA from 1 species